GUGCUCACUUCAAGUGGUGCAUACAUUAAAACUAUAAUACUCCAGAGAAGAUCAGAAUGGCUUCUCUGCAGGAUGACAUGAAAAUUCAUGAAGCAUCUUCAUUUUCC
ensembl:snRNA U6 U6 spliceosomal RNA